UGAGUACGAGCGGCUACGGCCGCGAAGUGGAUGAUGUCAAGCUUCCAAGAAAAGCCCUAUACCCGUUAAGGCAUGAUGGCCUGUACCCGAAACCGACACAGGUGGGGUGGUAGAGAAUACCGAGGGGCGCGAGGUAACUCUCUCUAAGGAACUCGGCAAAAUGGCCCCGUAACUUCGGGAGAAGGGGUGCCACCGCGAGGUGGUCGCAGUGAAGAGGCCCAGGCGACUGUUUACCAAAAACACAGGUCUCCGCUAAGUCGCAAGACGAUGUAUGGGGGCUGACGCCUGCCCAGUGCCGGAAGGUUAAGGAAGCUGGUCAGCGCAAGCGAAGCUGGCGACUGAAGCCCCGGUGAACGGCGGCCGUAACUAUAACGGUCCUAAGGUAGCGAAAUUCCUUGUCGGGUAAGUUCCGACCCGCACGAAAGGCGUAACGAUCUGGGCGCUGUCUCGGAGAGAGGCUCGGCGAAAUAGAAUUGUCUGUGAAGAUGCGGACUACGUGCACCCGGACAGAAAGACCCUAUGAAGCUUUACUGUAGCUUGGUAUUGUGCUCGGGCUCGGAAUGCGCAGGAUAGGUGGGAGGCUUUGAUCCAUUGCUUGCGGGUGAUGGUGAGCCACUGGUGUGAUACCACUCUUUCCGAGCUAGAGUUCUAACAGCAACCCGUUAUCCGGGUGCUGGACAGUAUCAGGUGGGCAGUUUGACUGGGGCGGUCGCCUCCUAAAAGGUAACGGAGGCGCGCAAAGGUCUGCUCAGGCUGGUUGGAAAUCAGCCGACGAGUGUAAAAGCAGAAGCAGGCUUGACUGUGAGACCUACAAGUCGAACAGGGAGGAAACUCGGCUUUAGUGAUCCGACGGUUCUGCGUGGAAGGGCCGUCGCUCAACGGAUAAAAGUUACUCUAAGGAUAACAGGCUGAUCUCCCCCAAGAGUUCACAUCGACGGGGAGGUUUGGCACCUCGAUGUCGGCUCAUCGCAACCUGGGGCUGAAGUCGGUCCCAAGGGUUGGGCUGUUCGCCCAUUAAAGCGGUACGCGAGCUGGGUUCAGAACGUCGUGAGACAGUUCGGUCCAUAUCCGGUGCACGCGCAGGAAUAUUGAGAGGAUUUCUCCCUAGUACGAGAGGACCGGGAGGAACGCACCUCUGGUGUGCUAGUUAUCGUGCCAACGGUAAACGCUGGGUAGCCAUGUGCGGAGUGGAUAACCGCUGAAAGCAUCUAAGUGGGAAGCCCACCUCAAGAUGAGUAUUCCCAUGGCAUAAGCCAGUAAGGUCACGGGAAGAACACCCGUUGAUAGGCUCUACGUGGAAGCGCAGUAAUGUGUGAAGCGGAGGAGUACUAAUAGACCGAGGGCUUGA
rnacentral:rRNA from 1 species